AGCCAUAUGAGUUUUGUGUUUGUGUAUGUGAACUAGGUAUAUAAUGAAUAUUCGGCUAUGAAGGUUAAAGGUUAAGUCAUAGGAAUUUUGGUGAUAUACAUAUUCGAUAAUUAGGGUUAUAUGUACUUUGGCUAUGUGGGUUAUGUGUUAAGGUAAGUUACUUAUUUGAUAUGUGUAUUCGGUCAUAAAGGUGUACAUGAAGAAAUGUUAAAUUAAUUGUAUUAAAUUGCUUAAUGUGAUUAAAAAUGUGUAUGACCAUUUUGUAUUUGAGCUAAAAGUAGCUAUAUGACCUAUUUAAUUUCUU
rnacentral:lncRNA from 1 species